GUGCGACUAAACGUGCUUUAUGCC
rnacentral:siRNA from 1 species